CCUGACUCCAUAUUAGGACAGGUUGGGACAACCCGGUUAUUGAAUGUUCGGUGAUCUGAGGGCACAUGAUCAGGUGAAAUUUAGAAAAAUUAAGAUAUUAGAUGCCACUAAUCAGGAGUCUCUAGUUCUGGUCUACUGUUUUUGUUUUUUUCUUUCUUUACUUAGUUACACAUUAAACCCUUUUCUAAUGAGGUUAGGAUAUGUUUGUUCAUUUGAACGAGGUCAAAUUCAUGGAACUGAAAUCGGCUAUACAGUUCCACGAACACCGCUGACCCUUACCUUCUCCUCCAUUCAGUUUUCAGCUACAGAGACUAAGUCCCGUUCAGCUGUUUGAACUCACUGUUAUACUGAGCCAAAUGCACGAACGGCCUAGUUUGUGCAUUCAAAUGGGACAUUUUUCUGUACAAAAUAGACCGAUCGCACAGCCCAAAUCUAUGGAACAGUUUUGGGCAGGAAAAUGUGCCUGCGGUUGGUCAUAAAGGACUUCCAGCUAACUUUUUAUAUACUAGAAGGAAUUGGCUGAAUAUUGGAUAUAUUUGUAAUUAAAGUGUGCUGAGUUAGAAUAUGUAAUUUUAUGAAGAAAAUUAUGAAGAUUGAAUGUAUAUUUUACAGUGUAUGUGUAAAAAGUAUAUUUUUCCUGCCUGUGAUAAUUACUUUAGCCCAUUGUGUUCCGUAAUUCUAUAACAGGCCGAGGGGAGGAUGUGUGUGUAAUUUCUGGCAGUGUUUUAUUGUAAUGUACGUAUGUUAUUGGUUGUUUUACAAAACCCUGUGGGUGGUCCUAUGCAGGGAAAACCUGCAUAAAAGAAAGCCCUGUGGUGCCAAGUAAAACAGUUCUUCUUCACUCUCAAUCUAGAGUCCUGUCUCUUAUUGGAGGAAUUGCUAUAUCACUACAAGGGAUUGCUAUGCUCUGCAUGCUCCCUUGGAUAAUCACUUCUAAGCUCUUUUAAGAGCUUGUUCCCGUCUUGCUCUUGGAAGGAAUUUACGGUGAUUAUCGUGUCGGCUGGAGUGCUUGGAGCCAUCAGGAAGUGCCAGGAGCAUCCUUCAACGGAGGUACCCAGUUGGGGUGCCAGGUGAUCCGUUACAGAUGUAAGCCAACUUCCGCUCACCUAAGCUCCCGCUAACUUACGAUGGCAACAAGAAGACACAGUGAUCAAGGGUCAUCACCUAGAGCCAGCGCAUUAGAUAUUGCACAAAGGAUGGAGAUUAGCGUCUGCUAACUCCAAUCAUGACAUGGAAACAUUGUUCAAUUUAAUAAAAUUAUAGUAUUUUCAUAGUGA